rnacentral:rRNA from 1 species
GUGGGGAAUAUUGGACAAUGGGCGAAAGCCUGAUCCAGCCAUGCCGCGUGUGUGAAGAAGGUCUUCGGAUUGUAAAGCACUUUAAGUUGGGAGGAAGGGUAGUAACCUAAUACGUUGCUACUUUGACGUUACCGACAGAAUAAGCACCGGCUAACUUCGUGCCAGCAGCCGCGGUAAUACGAAGGGUGCAAGCGUUAAUCGGAAUUACUGGGCGUAAAGCGCGCGUAGGUGGUUCAGUAAGUUGGAAGUGAAAUCCCCGGGCUCAACCUGGGAACUGCUUUCAAAACUGCAUGACUAGAGUACGGUAGAGGGUAGUGGAAUUUCCUGUGUAGCGGUGAAAUGCGUAGAUAUAGGAAGGAACACCAGUGGCGAAGGCGACUACCUGGACUGAUACUGACACUGAGGUGCGAAAGCGUGGGGAGCAAACAGGAUUUGAAACCCGAGUAGUCC